GAUGAACGCUGGCGGCGUGCCUAAUACAUGCAAGUCGAGUGAACAGACGAGGAGCUUGCUCCUCUGACGUUAGCGACGGACGGGUGAGUAACACGUGGAUAACCUACCUAUAAGACUGGGAUAACUUCGGGAAACCGGAGCUAAUACCGGAUAAUAUAUUGAACCGCAUGGUUCAAUAGUGAAAGACGGUUUUGCUGUCACUUAUAGAUGGAUCCGCGCCGCAUUAGCUAGUUGGUAAGGUAACGGCUUACCAAGGCAACGAUGCGUAGCCGACCUGAGAGGGUGAUCGGCCACACUGGAACUGAGACACGGUCCAGACUCCUACGGGAGGCAGCAGUAGGGAAUCUUCCGCAAUGGGCGAAAGCUUGACGGAGCAACGCCGCGUGAGUGAUGAAGGCCUUCGGAUCGUAAAACUCUGUUAUUAGGGAAGAACAAAUGUGUAAGUAACUAUGCACGUCUUGACGGUACCUAAUCAGAAAGCCACGGCUAACUACGUG
rnacentral:rRNA from 1 species